rnacentral:rRNA from 1 species
GAUGAACGCUGGCGGCGUGCCUAAUACAUGCAAGUCGAGCGAACAGACGAGGAGCUUGCUCCUCUGACGUUAGCGGCGGACGGGUGAGUAACACGUGGAUAACCUACCUAUAAGACUGGGAUAACUUCGGGAAACCGGAGCUAAUACCGGAUAAUAUAUUGAACCGCAUGGUUCAAUAGUGAAAGACGGUUUUGCUGUCACUUAUAGAUGGAUCCGCGCCGCAUUAGCUAGUUGGUAAGGUAGCGGCUUACCAAGGCAACGAUGCGUAGCCGACCCGAGAGGGUGAUCGGCCACACUGGAACUGAGACACGGUCCAGACUCCUACGGGAGGCAGCAGUAGGGAAUCUUCCGCAAUGGGCGAAAGCCUGACGGAGCAACGCCGCGUGAGUGAUGAAGGUCUUCGGAUCGUAAAACUCUGUUAUUAGGGAAGAACAAAUGUGUAAGUAACUAUGCACGUCUUGACGGUACCUAAUCAGAAAGCCACGGCUAACUACGUG